rnacentral:lncRNA from 1 species
AUGGCCCCACAACCCCUCCCACUGCUGCUCCUCCAGCAGCAGAGUGUCAUGAGCCUGACAAAGCAUUCUUCAGGCUGCUGGAGAUGUGAUGAAGGAUUAAUCGAGAGGCUUUUGAUGACUUAUGAGAUGUCUGUAGGACUUAGAAGAAUGAGCUGCCUCCAGGGCCCUGUUCACACUCACCCGAAGGAGCCCUGCCGGGUGAGCCCUGCUCCCAUGCCUGGGGACCCUGGACCAUCUAUCUGGAGCCAACACAGUGAGCCAGAGGAGUCGGCUCCUAACUUGUUAAAAUGCAGUUUGUAA